GACAAUUCGUCCAUUGGAGGAAAACCCAGGUCAAAGAGCAACAGAUUACCUCCCAAGAACUGAAGCGUAUCUUUGAGUUGGCUUCUAUUAAUUCACAAAAUAGCAUCUCCAGAGCGGCUAAUAACUUGGCAAAGAUGUGCAACAGUGGCAUAAAAAUUGAUGUAUCUGAAUGCAUGAAACCUUCCAGUAAUCCUGCGUGAAAGAUGUGAGGAAGCGCCUCUUUGGACUACUACUGUAUUAGUUGAGGACAACUCUAGUUAAUCAAUAAAUACACAAAUGUUACUUUUGUUUCUGUAAAUAUUCAUGAAUCAUUCUGUUUGGAUACCAUCUCUGAAAAUCUAGAGGUCAGUUCUCUUUGAUAUCCAUGCAGUAAACGUUGAAAGAUGUAACAAAAAAAA